CCUACGGGUGGCUGCAGUGGGGAAUAUUGGGCAAUGGGCGCAAGCCUGACCCAGCAACGCCGCGUGAAGGAAGAAGGCUUUCGGGUUGUAAACUUCUUUUGUCAGGGACGCAGCAAGUGACGGUACCUGACGAAUAAGCCACGGCUAACUACGUGCCAGCAGCCGCGGCAAUACGUAGGUGGCAAGCGUUAUCCGGAUUUACUGGGUGUAAAGGGGGGGUAGGCGGGACUGGAAGUCAGAUGUGAAAACCACGGGCUCAACCUGUGGCCUGCAUUUGACACUGGAGUUCUUGAGUACUGGAGAGGCAGACGGAAUUCCUGGUGUAGCGGUGAAAUGCGUAGAUAUUAGGAGGAACACCAGUGGCGAAGGCGGUCUGCUGGACAGCAACUGACGCUGAGGCGCGAAAGCGUGGGGAGCGAACAGGAUUAGAUACCCCGGUAGUC
rnacentral:rRNA from 1 species